AUUGAACGCUGGCGGCAGGCUUAACACAUGCAAGUCGAGCGGGGGAAGGUAGCUUGCUACCGGACCUAGCGGCGGACGGGUGAGUAAUGCUUAGGAAUCUGCCAAUUAGUGGGGGACAACAUCUCGAAAGGGAUGCUAAUACCGCAUACGUCCUACGGGAGAAAGCAGGGGAUCUUCGGACCUUGCGCUAAUAACUGAGCCUAAGUCGGAUUAGCUAUUUGGUGGGGUAAAGGCCUACCAAGGCGACGAUCUGUAGCGGGUCUGAGAGGAUGAUCCGCCAAACUGGGACUGAGACACGGCCCAGACUCCUACGGGAGGCAGCAGUGGGGAAUAUUGGACAAUGGGGGGAACCCUGAUCCAGCCAUGCCGCGUGUGUGAAGAAGGCCUUAUGGUUGUAAAGCACUUUAAGCGAGGAGGAGGCUACUUUAGUUAAUACCUAGAGAUAGUGGACGUUACUCGCAGAAUAAGCACCGGCUAACUCUGUGCCAGCCGCCGCUGUAA
rnacentral:rRNA from 1 species